UACGUAGGGUGCGAGCGUUAAUCGGAAUUACUGGGCGUAAAGCGUGCGCAGGCGGUUCGUGAUUUCUGGUGUGAAAGCCCCGGGCUUAACCUGGGAAUUGCAUUGGAAACUAGCGGGCUGGAGUGUGGCAGAGGGGGGUGGAAUUCCACGUGUAGCAGUGAAAUGCGUAGAGAUGUGGAGGAACACCGAUGGCGAAGGCAGCCCCCUGGGCUAACACUGACGCUCAUGCACGAAAGCGUGGGGAGCAAACAGG
rnacentral:rRNA from 1 species